rnacentral:rRNA from 1 species
UGGGGAAUAUUGGACAAUGGGCGGAAGCCUGGUCCAGCAACGCCGCGUGAGGGAUGACGGCCUUCGGGUUGUAAACCUCUUUCACCAUUGACGAAGCUGCAUCUUUUGGGUGUGGUGACGGUAGGUGGGAAGAAACACCGGCCAACUACGUGCCAGCAGCCGCGGUAAUACGUAGGGUGCGAGCGUUGUCCGGAAUUAUUGGGCGUAAAGGGCUCGUAGGCGGUUUGUCGCGUCGGGAGUGAAAACAUCCGGCUUAACUGGGUGCUUGCUUUCGAUACGGGCAGACUAGAGGUAUGCAGGGGAGAACGGAAUUCCUGGUGUAGCGGUGAAAUGCGCAGAUAUCAGGAGGAACACCGGUGGCGAAGGCGGUUCUCUGGGCAUGAUCUGACGCUGAGGAGCGAAAGUGUGGGAGCGAACA